GCGGGUGUGCCAAUUGGUAGAGUUCUGGACUUCCAGCCAGCUGUGGGGGUUCGACUCCCUUCACCCGCUCCA
rnacentral:tRNA from 1 species